rnacentral:rRNA from 1 species
GUAUCACUAAGCGGAGGAAAAGAAAUUAACUAAGAUUGCCUCAGUAACGGCGAGUGAAGCGGCAAGAGCCCAAAAUGUAAAUCUUCACGCUGCGCGUGACGAAUUGUAAUCUAAAGAUGGUUCUCUCACCGGGUGGUGGCGCAGAAGUGCCUUAGAACGGGCCGCCAGAGAGGGUGACAGCCCCGUAUGUGGUGCCACUACCUAACGAGAGGGUUAUCGAAGAGUCGGGUUGUUUUGUAUUGCAGCCCUAAGUGGGAGAUAAACUUCUUCUAAGGCUAAAUAUCUAUGGGAGACCGAUAGCGCACAAGUA